CCCCUCUCAGGCUCACAUCUGGAGAGUUUCCAGGACUCUACCAAUCUCGGCUACAGGAGGGAGAGUCAAGCAGAGACCUACCCAUUCCAUUUCUACCUUGAUCAGUGACUAGAGAGUGGAAAGUAAUCUGCUACAAGU